rnacentral:lncRNA from 1 species
GGAGUGCUCUCAUGUAAAUCACAGGGUGGCAGAUAGUAAGAAAUGUCUCCUGCCCUCACAGCUAUGAUGGAAAUGGGUUGUUUGUUGCUCAAAAGUCCUUCAGAAGCAACAGGGUCCGGUUCUUGGCAAGUGGAAAUUGGGCUGAAUAGAAAUUCAUUGUGGGUGUAGUGUGCAGACACAGGUAUAAAUAACUUGCAGCCGUCCUCUGUAUGUGCUCCAACAGGCCCCUGUCUCUCCUAUACUGAGGACUCCCCAUCUGGACGCCGUGCUCCAGUUGAGGUCUCAUCAGCACAAAGUAAAGGACAGGAUCACCUCCCUAACCUGCUGGCCCUGCUGCUUUGGAUGCAGCUCAGGAUAUGGUUGGCCUUCUAGGCUGGAAGGGCACAUUGCUGGCUCACGUCCAGCUUGCCAUCCACCAGUACCCUCAAGUCCUUCUUGGCAAGGCUGUGCUCUAUCCUUCUGACAGCUUGUAUUGACAGUGGGGGUUGCCAUGAACCAAGUGCAUACCUUGCACUUGACAUUGUUGAACCUCAUGAGGUUCACCUGGGUCCACCUCUUGAGCCUUCAUAGGUUUUUCUGAAUGGCGUCCCGUCCCUCAGGCAUGUUGACUGCACCACACAGCUCAGUGCCAUCUGAAAAGUUGCUGAGGGUGCACUUGAUCCCACAAUCAAUGUCACACUAACACAAAAUGGUGUAGCACAGGUGGGAAGUCAUGAGGGAGAGAUGCAGAGAGCCUUCCUGAUGUGAGCAGCUCAGCUUCUGAACAAAAUCCCAUGCCCUUCCUUGAAUCCACUGGGAUUUGAACCUCUGCAUUCUUGGGUUGGUCCACUGCCUCCUGUUUCCCUAGCUAUUCUCUUAGCUAGAUUUGAGUACUUUAAGAAUCUGCCAUCCCACAGACAUGGCAGAAUGUCAGCAUCACGUGCUAAGUUUCCUUCCACUGCUGCCAGGCUUGAAAGACAAAUACUGUGAGAGAAGAAAUAGACAGGAUACAAACACCUACAUCAGGACUUUUUCUGAAACAGGCUGGGUGGCAAAAUUGGAAGAAUGCUAGGAAUGUCCAUUCUGGUUCACUGUCAAACCUGAUCCUUCAGAACACCCACAGCAUAACUAGCCCCAGUACGAAUGGCUCAGGCCACAAUUGGAUGUAACUAUGCUCUCUGAUUCCUUCCAAAGAGGUUCAGCCUUUCCUCUCCUCGUGAGAAUGGUACUGAAGGACCCCAAAGAGCAGCAUCACUCCAGGCAAGGGGAGGGUAAUCACAGUGCAGGACCCACAUACAUCAAGCCCAGAUCCCCCUUGCCUGGUACCUCCUGGAGGUUUUUUUUUCCUCAGCAAAAAAAGGAUCCACAGCGUGAUGAUGCCAUACCGCAAUUCAUUGCAUGGAUACAGAUGAUGUUAUGGUCUGCAGGAAGUACAUCCUUAGUGCUGUACCUGGAAACCACAUGCCAAUUUUUGCAGAACGGCAUGGAGCAGAGUAGGAGACCUAAUAAGAAAGCCAGAGAAGAAAGGUAUCAUGGAGGAAU